UACGUAGGGGGCAAGCGUUGUCCGGAUUUAUUGGGCGUAAAGAGCGUGUAGGCGGCUAGGUAGGUCCGUUGUGAAAACUCGAGGCUCAACCUCGAGACGCCGGUGGAAACCAUCUAGCUAGAGUCCGGAAGAGGAGAGUGGAAUUCCUGGUGUAGCGGUGAAAUGCGCAGAUAUCAGGAAGAACACCCGUGGCGAAGGCGGCUCUCUGGGACGUGACUGACGCUGAGGCACGAAGGCCAGGGGAGCAAACGGG
rnacentral:rRNA from 1 species